AGCAGGUCAUUAGCGUACCGUACAAAUCACCUUGGACUCAGGAUGGAACCCUGGGGACCUGGAGCCGCAAUAGACUGGAGAGAAGACAUGGUGUUGCUGACAGUUACCUCUGAUGGCAGUUAGAAAGCAGCAGCUAAUACAGGAAGAUACACCCGCCAUGAGCUUUAGUCGCAGCUCUACAUAAAUAGGAGAAAUACUGACUGACCAACACCAAGGAGAAGCAUAAUAAAGUACUGGGAAUAUUCUGGAAACUUCCUGAAGAACCAGUAGAUGCAAUAAAGGAAGAAAAAGUCAACACUGCCUUUGUAUCCAAUGGCCCCUCGCUCUUAAAGUAAGAGAACCCUUAUGAUUUUACAGCAGUUUCAAUAAUAAAUGUAAUUGAUAAUUUAACAUAAUUAUCAAAUAAACAUGUUGAGACAGUAUUCCCCCAUCCACAGAGGCCUUAAGAAUCCUCAUGAUGAUGACUUUGGGAGCAUUAGGACUAUUUAUAAAAUAUUCUAGUCAGCCCAAAAUACUAUUAUUACUUGUCCUCCCCGUACCUGUGAACUACCAGGAGGCUCCUAUUUGUAUAUUUGUGAUUACCAAGGGAGAUCCCCAAUCUGGCAAGGAAAGAAAGACAGCAAGACUCUUCCCCUCUCUCUCAAGGCCUCCCAACUCAAUUGAUGGGACUGCUCUGUCAUAGUGAACUAGGAUCUAACAGCAGGUAUUCUCUUCCUCACCCCUUUCUAUGCCACAGGCUCCUCCAAAGAAGGAUGCCCUUCUAGAACAAUUGUCACACAAAAUGCAGAACUGGCACACCUCAGUUUCCAUCAAAAAGUCAGAAGCCUAAGAUCAUAAAAACAGCUUCAAGCCUACACAGUAAGCCAGCUCCCUAUGCAAUAUAAUUUGGAGCAAAUCAAAAGAUUCCAAGAUAUAUACCCCUCAACUACUUUCAUUCAGUCAGUCAACCAUUAUUUAUUGAGCACCUGCUGUGCAGGGAUUUUUAGAAGAUGGAAAUACAAUGGCCAUAGGGUUGCCAGAUUUAGCAAAUAAAAAUCUUGUAUUUGAUCUGGCAACUCUAAAUGGCCAGCAAGAGACCAUGCCUGCCCACAAGGACCUUACAAUCUAGUGCCCUAUGCAUUCCCUGAGAAUUUUUAAACCUAUUAGCACCUUAGCAAAAGUGGAUUUAUCCAAUUAGCCUCAAAGUGCAGAACUAAGUUUUGAAGGGAAGACUAAGGUCCAAGGCAAGGCAAGCAUCAGUAGAAUGUCACAGAGGAAGUAAUAAUGACUGACCCAAGACAAUGCAAUGGCUCUGUGCCUCUAGUUGGUGGCAGGGGUUGGGGGUAGGG